rnacentral:rRNA from 1 species
CCUACGGGGGGCUGCAGUGGGGAAUAUUGGGCAAUGGAGGCAACUCUGACCCAGCAACGCCGCGUGAAUGAUGAAGGUCUUCGGAUUGUAAAGUCCUUUGAUGGGGGAUGAACACAAUGAUGGUACCCCAAUAGCAAGCCACGGCUAACUACGUGCCAGCAGCCGCGGUAAUACGGAGGGGGCAAGCGUUAUCCGGAAUGACUGGGCGUAAAGGGUGCGUAGGGGGUUUAGUAAGUUGGCGGUGUAAUUCCGGGGCUCAACCUCGGCGCUACCGCCAAAACUAUUAGACUAGAGUGCAGGAGAGGUAAGUGGAAUGCCUGGUGUAGCGGUGGAAUGCGUAGAUAUUAGGAGGAACAUCAGGGGCGAAGGCGACUUACUGGACUGUAACUGACACUGAGGCAUGAAAGCGUGGGGAGCAAACUGGAUUAGAUACCCCUGUAGUC